rnacentral:rRNA from 1 species
AGUGAACGCUGGCGGUAGGCCUAACACAUGCAAGUCGAACGGCAGCACAGUAAGAGCUUGCUCUUACGGGUGGCGAGUGGCGGACGGGUGAGGAAUACAUCGGAAUCUACUUUUUCGUGGGGGAUAACGUAGGGAAACUUACGCUAAUACCGCAUACGACCUACGGGUGAAAGCAGGGGAUCUUCGGACCUUGCGCGAUUGAAUGAGCCGAUGUCGGAUUAGCUAGUUGGCGGGGUAAAGGCCCACCAAGGCGACGAUCCGUAGCUGGUCUGAGAGGAUGGUCAGCCACACUGGAACUGAGACACGGUCCAGACUCCUACGGGAGGCAGCAGUGGGGAAUAGUGGACAAUGGGCGCAAGCCUGAUCCAGCCAGACCGCGUGUGUGAAGAAGGCGUUCGGGUUGUAAAGCCCUUUUGUUGGGAAAGAAAAGCAGCAGGUUAAUACCCCGCUGUUCUGACGGUACCCAAAGAAUAAGCACCGGCUAACUUCGUG